AUGGAAAAGAAGGAGCACUAUGUGUCCUGCUCUGAGCUCCUGAAGGAAAAACAGGACCUAAGAGAUGUGACUUUUUUCUGGAGGAGGACUGCAAGCAUCUCAGAAAGUGGCUGCUGAAAAAGGCAGCACUUUGUGUGCUGCUGUGUUUGACUUCCUGUGGGAGUUCUGUAGAAGAUUUCUCUCCCAUGACAUGAUGUAGUACAGCUAUGCUUUCCUUUCAUUUUCCGUUGUGCUUGAUAUCUUUGUGAGAACUUUUCAGAAACCUUCAGGCAGCUGGAGCAAAACUUUCAAAAUGAAGUUUAAAGAUAUUGUUGAGAAGUUUUUCCGGAACAGAAUAGCACUAAAUUUCAUUGCCACAAUUAUCUUGGCAGUGAUUGAAGAAAUUACAGAACGUGAAUAUACCUGCGCCCCACCGCCAUGGAAUCUAAUUUAUUUUAUAAUAUUGUUAGUGUUACCAUUUCUCAUUUUCUUCAUCCUGAAUUUUAUUAUUCAGAUGUAUAUGUUAAAUUCGUUUGAUGUUAAAAAAGGCGAAGGGUGCUGCAGUUUAUGGUGCUGCAGGUUAUGGCAGAGUUCCUUCCCCCCCUUCAUGUGGCUUGUGAUUGUUUUUUUGGAUGGAAGGUAUUUUCAGUGUGCAAUGAGUACAGAUCACAAUGCACCAAUAAAGCCAACUAAUUUUGAAGCGUCGGCAAUAUCUAAGACUGUUGGAUUAAUCCUGCUCUUAGUCAUUACUUCAGCGAUGCUCGUACACUAUUGUUGGAAGAAUAAGAACGAGCCCCAGCAGUCUAAUACUGGGCAGCAGUCUAAUACUGGGCAGCAGUCUAAUACUGGGCAGCAGUCUAAUACUGGGCAGAAUUCAUCCGAGAAUACAGCAAGCGAUGGAAACUCAUCAAGGAGUGAAGCAACCUAAAUGGACUAAAACAUCUCUGGGAACCAUCUUUCUGGCUCUUCAAUAAACUGCAGCCUUCUUCCCAAAGCAGUCACCAUGUUGUUUAUUUAUCCCCGGUUUGGAUAAACCAGGAUGAAAACUUUUCCUUCAACAGAAUGUUAAGAGCCAUUGUAUUUCAACUUGGGGGGGGGGGGGUUGAACAACAAAUGCUGUGGAGAUAUCCACCACAGAGUCUUAUGAUUUUGAGGAAUGGGAUCCAAUUGUUGGGAAAGAUCCCGGUUAAAAGUUUAAGGAAAAGCCUUAUCAUUAAGAAUCAAUUAAGGAUAUUUGACUUUGGAGGGACCAGAGAUAACGAUUGUGAUGCUGUUAAUUUUACCUAUUAAUUGUUUUUUUUAUAUAGUAGAUAGAGUCACAUCAAAUGGGUUGGUUAAACAUAGUUGUAGAAGUUCAUAAACUGUAUCUGCUUCACAAGGGGGGGAAUUAUUAUUUUUGAAAUAUAUCAAUAUUCAACUAGGGGAGACAAUUUAUGUAUGUGUUUUUUUUAAUGCACACUUUCAUUUUUUUGGUCUUGUCUAGUUUUGCUUUGUUUUUGUAUUUUCUUUG